rnacentral:lncRNA from 1 species
UAAGAUGAGGUCAGCCCUUAAUCCAAUAUGUUUGAUAUUCUUAUAGGAGGAGAAGAGACACAGAGACACAGAGAGAACGCCAGGUGACAACUGAGGCAGAAGUUAGAGUGCUUCCGUCACAAGCCAAGGAACACCAGUGACUGCAGGCAAGCCACCAGAAGCUGGAAAGAUGCUGAAAAGAAUCCUCCCCUGGAGGCUUAAGAGAAAGCACCGCCCUGCCCACAUCUUAAUUUCAGACUUCUGGCUUCCAGAACUGUGAGACAAUAAAUUUCUGUUGUUUUCAGCCACCUAGUUUGUGGCACUUUGUUAUGACAGCCCUAGGAAAAUAAAUUCAAUUAGUUUGGGGAGAAAUAACAUCUUUACUAUGUUGAGUCUUCCAGUCCACGAACAUAGUAUGUUUCUCCAUUUGUGUAGAUCUUUGAUUUCUUUCAUCAGCAUUUUUUUGUAGUUUUCAGCAUAGACAUCCUGCGUAUGUUAUGUUAGAACAUCCUGUGUAUGUUGUGUAGGUUUAGUUAUACCCAAAUAUUUCCUUUUUUGUUUCUUUCUUUUUAGAGCUAUUAUAAGUAGUAUUGUGUUCUUAAUUUCAGCUUCUAAUUACUCAUUGCUAACAUAUAGGAACACAAUUGAAUUUCAUGUGUUGAUCUUAUAUUCUGUGGUCACGAGAAACUCAGUUAUUACUUCUAGGAGUUCUAUAAUAGGUGUCCAGCAUUCCUAAUGGCAUUUACUCUGAAAAAAUUAUAUUCAUUGCUAUAAAAUAUUCCAUCAUCUGGCCGGACACAGUAGCUCACGCCUGUAAUCCCAGCACUUUGGGAGGCCGAGGCAGGUAGAUCACAUGAGAUCAGCAGUUGGAGACCAGCAUGGCCAACAUGAUGAAACCCCAUCUCCACUAAAAAUAUAAAAACUAGAGAGAGUGGGGACGUCCAGCUUCAGAGCGGGAGUCUUCGUUGCGCCAGCGACUAAAAAGAGAAUUAAAUAUGGAUGAUGUUGAGAAAGGCAAGAAGAUUUUUAUUAUGAAGCAUUCCCAGUGCCACAUUGUUGAAAAGGGAGGCAAGCAUAAGACUGGGCCAAAUCUCCAUGGUCUCUUUGGGCGGAAGACAGGUCAGGCCCCUGGAUACUCUUACACAGCCACCAUUAAGAACAAAGACAUCAUCUGGGGAGAGGAUACACUGAUGGAGUAUUUGGAGAAUCCCAAGUACAUCCCUGGAACAAAAAUGAUCUUUGUUGGCAUUAAGAAGAAGGAAGAGGCCAGGCGCGGUGGCUCACGCCUAUAAUCCGAGCGCUUUGGGAGGCUGAGGCAGACGGAUCACGAGGUCAGGAGAUCAAGACCAUCCUGGUUAACACGGUGAAACCCCAUCUCUACUAAAAAUACAAAAAAUUAGCCGGGCGUGGUGGCAGGUGCCUGUAGUCCCAGCUACUCUGGAGGCUGAGGCAGGAGAAUGGCAUGAACCCGGGAGGUGGAGCUUGCAGUGAGCCGAGAUCGCGCCACUGCACUCCAGCCUGGGUGACAGAGCGAGACUCCAUCUCAAAAAAAAAAAAAGAAUUGCUUGAACCCAGGUGGCAGAGGUUGCCCUGAGCCAAGAUCAUGCCACUGCACUCCAGCAGAAAGGGCAGACUCGAUAGCUUAUCUCAAAAAAGCUACUAAUGAGUAAUAAUUGGCCACUCUCUUAUUUAUUACAAAACAGAAAUGUCUCAUGACUUUUUUAUGUGUACCAUCCUUUAAUAGAUCUCAUACACCAGAAUUCAGAUCAUGAAUGACUGACAGAAUAUUUUGUUGGGCAGUCCUGAUUUAAAACUAAGACUGGCUUGUGGUUAAAUGAGUAUGUUCAGUUUUUGAUUUUAAUAGUAACUCCAAUUCAGUAAAUGCUAUCACUGUUUACCCCUUUUAAAGAUAUGAUUAGGCUUCGUUAGUAAUGUUCAACUUUUCACAAAGAUGGUGAGUGCCAUCUUAAAACUUACUGGAGAUUGGUUUUAUAUUUAGAUUUAUAUAACUGGUUAUGUGAAUAUAUUUAAAUACUGGGGAAAUUCCUACACUGUCUUAGAACCAAGCAAGAUUCACCUGUGUUUUGUGUUCAUUUGCCUCUUAAAGGCAAGGGUUGAAGAUAAAUAAGGUAGCAAUGUCUAUAGUUUUGGCCUUAACUAUAGCAAUCUAAUUAUAAUUCCCUGUAUUUAAAAUGGUUCCUUUUACUUAUUGAAAGGCAUUUUAGUGUGGUUUAUGUGUAAUAUUAAAGAUUAUUCAACACCUCUCACAUCUUAUAGAUCUAUAAGGUCACAUGCUUUUAAAAUAGUAGCAAGUUAAACUUCACUCUUGAAUUCUUUACAAUCUAAGUCAAACUAAGUUAUAAUUUAGGAUUGUCUUUAAACAGCCAUUCAGAAACAUAAAACUGUAGAACUGUGUAUUUGUGAUUGGGAAUGGUGCUUUUGCCAACUUAAAAGGAUUAAAGUAAUGGAGAUAUACACAAAUUUUAAAAUUAUGUGUGAUUACAAGACUAAAGAUAAUUAAAAAGAAAACCACACACACACACACACACACACACAAAACUAGCCAGGUGCAGUGGUGCGCACCUGUAAUCCCAGUUACUCAGGAGGCUGAGGCAGGAGAAUGGCUUGAACCUGGGAGGUGGAGGUUGCAGGGAACUGAGAUCGAACCACUGCACGCCAGUCGGGGCGACUGAGCGAGACUCUGUCCCCCCCAAAAAAAAAUCCAUCAUCUUUCACUCUUUUUCUUUUCUUUUUUUUUCCUGAGAUGGAGUCUCGCUCUGUUGCCCAGGCUGGAGUGCAGUGGUGCAAUCUCAGCUCACUGCAACCUCUGCCUCCCGGGUUCAAGUGAUUCUCCUGCCUCAGUCUCCUGAGAAGCUGGGACUACAGGCGCCUGCCACCCGAGACCAGCCUGACCAACAUGGAGAAACCCCGUCUCUACUAAAAAAUAUAAAAUAAGCCAGGCGUGGUGGCGCAUGCUUCUAAUCCCAGCUACUCGGGAGGCUGAGGCAGGAGAAUCACUUGAACCUGGGAGGCGGAGGUUGCGCUGACCUGAGAUCACGCCAUUGCACUCCAGCCUGGGCAACAAGAGUGAAACUCCGUCUCAAAAAAAAAAAAAAAAAAAUUUAAAAAUUAGCCGGGCCUGGUGGUGUGCACCUGUAGUCCCAGCUACCUGGGAGGCUGAGGUGGGAGGAUACUUUGAGCCUAGGAGUUCGAGGUUCCAGUGAGGUUCCAUCAUGCCACUGCGCUCCAGCCUAGGCAAGAGAGCAAACCCUUGCCUCAAAAAAAAAAAAGCUUUUUUAGGCUGUGCAUCAUUCCCCUCAUGAUUAUCAUUUUUGCCCACACCCCUAUUCUUGAAGAAGCAGGAUGAUGAUGGUAAGAGCUGAUUUAUUGAGCACUUAAUGGAUGCUAAGUCCUGUGCUACCUCACUUAGUGCUCACCCUGCUGUAUAGCAAACAGGGCCCAGGCAGGAAAUGGAAUCCAACCAAA